CCUACGGGUGGCAGCAGUGAGGAAUAUUGGUCAAUGGGCGCGAGCCUGAACCAGCCAAGUAGCGUGAAGGAUGACUGCCCUACGGGUUGUAAACUGCUUUUAUAAAGGAAUAAAGUCAGGCACGUGUGCCUUGUUGUAUGUAUCUUACGAAUAAGGAUCGGCUAACUCCGUGCCAGCAGCCGCGGUAAUACGGAGGAUCCGAGCGUUAUCCGGAUUUAUUGGGUUUAAAGGGAGCGUAGAUGGGUUGUUAAGUCAGUGGUGAAAGUUUGCGGCUCAACCGUAAAAUUGCAAUUGAUACUGGCAGUCUUGAGUACAGUUGAGGUAGGCGGAAUUCGUGGUGUAGCGGUGAAAUGCUUAGAGAUCACAAAGAACUCCGAUUGCGAAGGCAGCUUACUAAACUACAACUGACAUUGAUGCUCGAAAGUGUGGGUAUCAAACAGGAUUAGAUACCCCGGUAGUC
rnacentral:rRNA from 1 species